UACGUAGGCGGUCCGUCAAGUGCCUUGUGAAAUCCCCCGGCUCAACCGGGGAAUUGCUUGGUAGACUGACAGACUUGAGGCAGGUAGGGGUAAGUGGAACUCUUGGUGGAGCGGUGAAAUGCGUAGAUAUCAAGAGGAACGCCGGUGGCGAAGGCGACUUACUGGGCCUGUCCUGACGCUGAGGUACGAAAGCCAGGGGAGCAAACGGGAUUAGAUACCCCGGUAGUCCUGGCCCUAAACGAUGUCGACUAGGUCGGAGUCACUCUGACGUGUUUCUGGCCGAAAUGAAAACGUUAAGUCGACCGCCUGGGGAGUACGGUCGCAAGGCUAAA
rnacentral:rRNA from 1 species